ACCUACGAAAGCCAGAUGGGGAUGAAAACCGGUGACAUGCCAUUUAAAUGACUGGAAAGACAUUCAUGUCACUCUUAAGAAGAACGCAGGACCCAACGGCCCCUGAGGAUCACAGGAGGGGGGGCACUGUGAAUCUCAAGGGGGUGCAGGCUCGCUGGGGAUCAUCGGGGGAGCCCUGGUCGUUCGACGAACAACCCCAAUUCGGUCUCCUGGUUUAGCAAACCAUGGUCGCAUCGAGUCUCUCGCGAUACUGGUCCGUAGUGCCUCCCUUACUUGGGAAGACGGUUCCCGGCUAGAAGUGCUGCUGCCAUCCUCACGCAGCAUUCUGCAGUUUGUGGUUCUGAAGUUUCUAUGAGGAGGCAGUCCGGGGGGACGUCCACGUGGUUCAGGGCGUACCUCUUGGUUUUGUCUGGGUAAGCUUGGUUCAUCAUAUCCCAGACCAGACAUAACAAAACCAGCCACUGUUUUGCCGACCCAAUGAAGCAUUAACCAGCCCAAAUGCAGCAUGUUUCCUGGAGAAGGUUAAUAUUAUCAGAUUUUCAGAUCUUUUGAAGUUUCAUAGAUGUGCGACCGACAACUGUGAGGCCCUUUGUAAGAAUGAUAGUUAUUGAAAGGUAUAGAGAUCUAAGCAAUUCCAUACACACAGAAAAAAAGGUUCUUGGAUGGUUCUUUAGAAGGCAUCAAGGUUCUACAAAGAACCAUCACCUUCUUAAGAAUCAUUCUAUCUAUUAGAUGGUUCUACAUGUUUUGCAUAUGGUUCUAUGGGAUAUUAAAGGGUUCCUAACUCA